ACUGGGAACUGCUGGGUCCCGAUCCAGGUCGGCUCCGCAGAGGCCAGAGCAAGCUUGCGGGGAAACCAGUUAUGCGGGUCCAGCCGGUUCUCGGCGGACACAACAUCUUUGUUUGUAUGUGGUGCUGAGGAUCGAACCCGGGCCGCACGCAUGCUAGGCGAGUGCGCUACCGCUUGAGCCACAUCCCCAGCCCAAGAUGUUAAUUUAGUCGUAAGCAAUUUUACAACUGGUUCCUUGCAGAAUCGCAUGAGUCAAGUUUUUCUGCCCAACACAAAGUCAACAGAUGAGCAAAGCUUGAUUCUUCCAUGGUGAUAAGACAGGAUCUCACUAUGUCACUCAGAACAUCCUUGGACUCCUGGUCUCAAGCAAUCCCAGGCAUGCACCACUACUCCCAGCAAGAUUCGUCCAUUUCUUACAAGUUUGAACACUUUAGUUGCAGAAGAGUAGUAAAUCCUGUCUUAUUGGCACAACACAAUUUGCUUAUUAUUCAUUUGCUGAUGGUCAUUUGAAUUAUUUCCACCUUUCGGUCAUUAUGAAAAAUGCUGUUGUGAACAUUCAUGUGUGGUUCUUCACGGCUAUACAUUGUCAUUUCUCUCAGAUAAAUAUGUAGGAGUGUUAUCGCUGGGUUAUAGAGUGUGUCAAAACUUUAUAAGGACCAUCAAGCCAUUUCUCUGAGGGACUGUGCCAUUGUGGAUCUCCAUCAGCAAUCUAUAAGCAUUCUGGUUAUUCCCCUCCUCAUGACACUUGGGAUUGUCAAGUCUUUUUUGGGGGGGAGUGGGGGUUAAUAAAAACUUUAUUGUUGUAUUAUGUUCUCCUUUCAUUUUCAAUAUCCCACCCCACCUUUCUCUACUGUUACAUUAGGACUAAAUAUUCCAUGACUUGGCUACUAACCACUUAUGGUGCUCAGUGACCAAACAGACACCUCUCUAUAAAAAUAUCACUAAAUUCAUUCAUAAAUCUGUGUUACAUUAAAACUUUUUCUCAGUUUUAAUUACAAUUAUGUAUCUUAAAUCCAAAGAGGUGAUUAAAGGUGCUCAUGAAUAAUUUGAU